AGGGAUAUAGCUCAGUGGCACAGCACCUGCCUGAAAACCACAAGGUCCUGAGUUCAAUUUGCAGUACCCCCA
rnacentral:tRNA from 1 species